GCAGUCGAGCGAAUGGAUUAAGAGCUUGCUCUUAUGAAGUUAGCGGCGGACGGGUGAGUAACACGUGGGUAACCUGCCCAUAAGACUGGGAUAACUCCGGGAAACCGGGGCUAAUACCGGAUAACAUUUUGAACCGCAUGGUUCGAAAUUGAAAGGCGGCUUCGGCUGUCACUUAUGGAUGGACCCGCGUCGCAUUAGCUAGUUGGUGAGGUAACGGCUCACCAAGGCAACGAUGCGUAGCCGACCUGAGAGGGUGAUCGGCCACACUGGGACUGAGACACGGCCCAGACUCCUACGGGAGGCAGCAGUAGGGAAUCUUCCGCAAUGGACGAAAGUCUGACGGAGCAACGCCGCGUGAGUGAUGAAGGCUUUCGGGUCGUAAAACUCUGUUGUUAGGGAAGAACAAGUGCUAGUUGAAUAAGCUGGCACCUUGACGGUACCUAACCAGAAAGCCACGGCUAACUACGUGCCAGCAGCCGCGGUAAUACGUAGGUGGCAAGCGUUAUCCGGAAUUAUUGGGCGUAAAGCGCGCGCAGGUGGUUUCUUAAGUCUGAUGUGAAAGCCCACGGCUCAACCGUGGAGGGUCAUUGGAAACUGGGAGACUUGAGUGCAGAAGAGGAAAGUGGAAUUCCAUGUGUAGCGGUGAAAUGCGUAGAGAUAUGGAGGAACACCAGUGGCGAAGGCGACUUUCUGGUCUGUAACUGACACUGAGGCGCG
rnacentral:rRNA from 1 species